AGAUUGAACGCUGGCGGCAUGCUUUACACAUGCAAGUCGAACGGUAACAGGCCGCAAGGUGCUGACGAGUGGCGAACGGGUGAGUAAUGUAUCGGAACGUGCCCAGUCGUGGGGGAUAACGCAGCGAAAGCUGCGCUAAUACCGCAUACGAUCUAUGGAUGAAAGCGGGGGACCGUAAGGCCUCGCGCGAUUGGAGCGGCCGAUAUCAGAUUAGGUAGUUGGUGGGGGUAAAGGCUCACCAAGCCAACGAUCUGUAGCUGGUCUGAGAGGACGACCAGCCACACUGGGACUGAGACACGGCCCAGACUCCUACGGGAGGCAGCAGUGGGGAAUUUUGGACAAUGGGCGCAAGCCUGAUCCAGCAAUGCCGCGUGCAGGAAGAAGGCCUUCGGUUGUAACUGUCGUUUUGUACGGAACGAAACGGUCCUAGGUUAAUACCGUGGACUAAGUGACGUACGUAAGAAGUAAGCACGACUAACUACGUGUCCAGACGAGCCGCGUAACG
rnacentral:rRNA from 1 species